ensembl:lncRNA
GUAAAACCCGCAGCAACGCGUCCUUGGAAAAAUCACAGAUCCGUCGGUAAAUCCUGAAGCAAGCGCGCUCACCAUGUCAGACAUCUGAGACUUUCACGGUGCCACGGUUUCAGUCACAGGGCCGCCUACCCUCCUCUGCCACGUCCCCCCCUCCACUCCAGAUUCCCAUCACACUGUCAGCCUCCACAUCCUGUCCCAGGGACCCUCCUCCGCAGCCAGCAGACUGGUGAGGACCUGCGUCCAUUCCACUCUGCUCUCGGAGGCUCCCUCCACAUUACCCAGCUGUGCUCGGCCUCCUGAGUCCAGGUCUCCACGUCGGGGAGGCUGGAGCCUCCUUGCCUCUCCGCCUCCCCAUGGGCCUGCCCCUCUGCUUCCACUGGGGCCUCAGGAUGCUCCUUUCUGCUGCCUGUCCUGUGACCCCUCCCCAACACAGCAAACUUUUCCACAUUUCUUUGUUAAAAUAAUUAAGCAUGAAUAUUAAGAACAUGUUUUUAUGUCAAGUGCGCUGUAAUGACAAUUGAUCAGGGGAGAAAGCUUAGCGCUCCUCUGAAUCCCAAGCUUCACAAAC